UACGGAGGGUGCAAGCGUUGCUCGGAAUUAUUGGGCGUAAAGGGUAGGUAGGUGGUCUCAUUUGUCUGGGGUGAAAUCCUUGAGCUUAACUCAAGAAGUGCCUCAGAAACGGUGAGACUAGAGUUCUGGAGAGGGUCGUGGAAUUCCCGGUGUAGCGGUGAAAUGCGUAGAUAUCAGGAGGAACACCGGUGGUGUAAACGGCUUUCUGGACCAUAACUGACGCUGAGGCACGAAAGCGUGGGUAGCAAACAGG
rnacentral:rRNA from 1 species